AGAUUCAUUCACUGCAUAUAUGUCUCACAACGCCAGGAAGUUUUUUUUAUGUUCUAUAAAAUAGACAGCAACGAUAUAAAAGUAAUGUGAGUUAUAAUGUUAAUAUGUUGAAUGUUUUAUACUCGGUCAUUGGCGUUCGCGAUCGUCUGAUGUGUAAACGUAUCAAGUAAGCUGUAAAUAAGUGAUGCAUCGACAGACAUAUACGCGCGUCCUUUCUUAUCAGUGAUGCAAUUUAUUUAUCAGCUAUGCAUCUUCUGGUAAUUGCUAACAACUGUUUCAGUUUUCGUUUAGGACUGUGUCUGCAUCACUGGCAUAAUUGCACAAGAAAGGCACAUGUGUCGUUCAGUUUUGAGUUCGCUGGAAAAUCAUACUGAGACCGAAUACACCACUCUUGCCUUCACCUGUAUCUCUCACAGUAAGGGGACGCUCGUUCAGUUUUCAACUCCAUUCAGAAUCUUAGAAUGUGAGAAUAACAGUGUAAAAGAACCUGUUGCAAA